GACAGAGGGUGCAAACGUUGUUCGGAAUUACUGGGCGUAAAGCGCGUGUAGGCUGCUUCGCAAGUCGGAUGUGAAAGCCCUGGGCUCAACCCAGGAAGUGCAUUCGAAACUGCAGAGCUGGAGUCCUGGAGAGGAAGGCGGAAUUCUCGGUGUAGAGGUGAAAUUCGUAGAUAUCGAGAGGAACACCGGUGGCGAAGGCGGCCUUCUGGACAGUGACUGACGCUGAGACGCGAAAGCGUGGGGAGCGAACAGG
rnacentral:rRNA from 1 species